CUUCCCAUUGAUUUGCUGCUCUGGUCUUCCAGUGACAGGAGCAGUUAUACGCAUGGGAGAGAACAAUUUAGGCCGUUGUCAAUUGAGAUGGAGUAACCAUUUCAUCUCUUCUGCGCGGUCCAGACAUUG